CAGAACUUGGAAAACAGAAUAAAUUGUGCUUCGGAAGUAUUCACAAGUUCAGCUUAAAGCUCUUGCCGAUCAUUCAUUCAGUCCUCUAUAAAUUCAUUAUCAUCAUUAUCGUCGUCAUCAUCAUAAUUGCCAUCAUCAUCAUAAUCAUCAUCAUCAUGUACCAGUACAAAUACUACCCUGCAGAAUCUAUGAACAAAGAGUUAGAAAACAAUUGCAAAGAAAGAUACAUAAAAUGCGCACGAAUUGUUAUGAAACGUCCUAUGCCAACCACACCAAUGGAGGGUCCAAUGCCGAUGACAUAUUCGCCAAUCACAUCACCUGAGGUAUCGUCAACAUCUACUUUGAAACCAAAGAAUAAGCAUUGCUGCACAAUUCGAAUAAGACUUGGCUUUUAAUCACAAGCGUUUUCAUGAUACGAGGCUAAACGUUCAUCAAAGUGUAGCUCAUACGGAUAACGACAGACGAAAAUGGAUUCUUCAGCAUCACAAAUUAUCACUUAGGCAAUAAAUUAGAAAUUAUAAUAUCAUCUGUGCACCUAAAUUUUGAUUAAUUUUUAAAAUAAAUUAUGAAAUAAAA